CCUACGGAGGCAGCAGUAAGGAAUAUUGGUCAAUGGACGAAAGUCUGAACCAGCCAUGCCGCGUGGAGGAUGAAGGCCCUCUGGGUUGUAAACUUCUUUUAUCUGGGACGAAACACUUCCUUUCUAGGGAGCUUGACGGUACCAGGUGAAUAAGCACCGGCUAACUCCGUGCCAGCAGCCGCGGUAAUACGGAGGGUGCAAGCGUUAUCCGGAUUCACUGGGUUUAAAGGGUGCGUAGGCGGACAUGUAAGUCCGUGGUGAAAUCUCCGAGCUUAACUCGGAAACUGCCAUGGAUACUAUAUGUCUUGAAUGUUGUGGAGGUUAGCGGAAUAUGUCAUGUAGCGGUGAAAUGCAUAGAUAUGACAUAGAACACCAAUUGCGAAGGCAGCUGGCUACACAAAUAUUGACGCUGAGGCACGAAAGCGUGGGGAUCAAACAGGAUUAGAUACCCUGGUAGUCCACGCCCUAAACGAUGAUUACUCGACAUACGUGAUACACAAUGUGUGUCUGAGCGAAAGCAUUAAGUAAUCCACCUGGGAAGUACGACCGCAAGGUUGAAACUCAAAGGAAUUGACGG
rnacentral:rRNA from 1 species